rnacentral:rRNA from 1 species
UUAAGCGACUAAGCGUACACGGUGGAUGCCCUGGCAGUCAGAGGCGAUGAAGGACGUGCUAAUCUGCGAAAAGCGUCGGUAAGGUGAUAUGAACCGUUACAGCCGGCGAUGUCCGAAUGGGGAAACCCAGUGCAAUUCGUUGCACUAUCGUUAACUGAAUACAUAGGUUAACGAGGCGAACCGGGGGAACUGAAACAUCUAAGUACCCCGAGGAAAAGAAAUCAACCGAGAUUCCCCCAGUAGCGGCGAGCGAACGGGGAGCAGCCCAGAGUCUGAAUCAGCUUGUGUGUUAGUGGAACGGUCUGGAAAGUCCGACGGUACAGGGUGAUAGUCCCGUACACCAAAAUGCACAGGUUGUGAACUCGAAGAGUAGGGCGGGACACGUGGUAUCCUGUCUGAAUAUGGGGGGACCAUCCUCCAAGGCUAAAUACUCCUGACUGACCGAUAGUGAACCAGUACCGUGAGGGAAAGGCGAAAAGAACCCCGGCGAGGGGAGUGAAAAAGAACCUGAAACCGUGUACGUACAAGCAGUGGGAGCACCUUCGGGUGUGACUGCGUACCUUUUGUAUAAUGGGUCAGCGACUUAUAUUCUGUAGCAAGGUUAACCGUAUAGGGGAGCCGCAGGGAAACCGAGUCUUAACUGGGCGUUAAGUUGCAGGGUAUAGACCCGAAACCCGGUGAUCUAGCCAUGGGCAGGUUGAAGGUUGGGUAACACUAACUGGAGGACCGAACCGACUAAUGUUGAAAAAUUAGCGGAUGACUUGUGGCUGGGGGUGAAAGGCCAAUCAAACCGGGAGAUAGCUGGUUCUCCCCGAAAGCUAUUUAGGUAGCGCCUCGUGAAUUCAUCUUCGGGGGUAGAGCACUGUUUCGGCUAGGGGGUCAUCCCGACUUACCAACCCGAUGCAAACUACGAAUACCGAAGAAUGUUAUCACGGGAGACACACGGCGGGUGCUAACGUCCGUCGUGAAGAGGGAAACAACCCAGACCGCCAGCUAAGGUCCCAAAGUCAUGGUUAAGUGGGAAACGAUGUGGGAAGGCACAGACAGCCAGGAUGUUGGCUUAGAAGCAGCCAUCAUUUAAAGAAAGCGUAAUAGCUCACUGGUCGAGUCGGCCUGCGCGGAAGAUGUAACGGGGCUAAACCAUGCACCGAAGCUGCGGCAGCGACACUAUGUGUUGUUGGGUAGGGGAGCGUUCUGUAAGCCUGCGAAGGUGACCUGUGAGGGUUGCUGGAGGUAUCAGAAGUGCGAAUGCUGACAUAAGUAACGAUAAAGCGGGUGAAAAGCCCGCUCGCCGGAAGACCAAGGGUUCCUGUCCAACGUUAAUCGGGGCAGGGUGAGUCGACCCCUAAGGCGAGGCCGAAAGGCGUAGUCGAUGGGAAACAGGUUAAUAUUCCUGUACUUGGUGUUACUGCGAAGGGGGGACGGAGAAGGCUAUGUUAGCCGGGCGACGGUUGUCCCGGUUUAAGCAUGUAGGCUGGUUGUCCAGGCAAAUCCGGAUAAUCAAGGCUGAGGUGUGAUGACGAGGCACUACGGUGCUGAAGUAACAAAUGCCCUGCUUCCAGGAAAAGCCUCUAAGCAUCAGGUAACAUCAAAUCGUACCCCAAACCGACACAGGUGGUCAGGUAGAGAAUACCAAGGCGCUUGAGAGAACUCGGGUGAAGGAACUAGGCAAAAUGGUGCCGUAACUUCGGGAGAAGGCACGCUGGUGUGUAGGUGAAGUCCCUGCGGAUGGAGCUGAGACCAGUCGAAGAUACCAGCUGGCUGCAACUGUUUAUUAAAAACACAGCACUGUGCAAACACGAAAGUGGACGUAUACGGUGUGACGCCUGCCCGGUGCCGGAAGGUUAAUUGAUGGGGUUAUCCGUAAGGAGAAGCUCUUGAUCGAAGCCCCGGUAAACGGCGGCCGUAACUAUAACGGUCCUAAGGUAGCGAAAUUCCUUGUCGGGUAAGUUCCGACCUGCACGAAUGGCGUAAUGAUGGCCAGGCUGUCUCCACCCGAGACUCAGUGAAAUUGAACUCGCUGUGAAGAUGCAGUGUACCCGCGGCAAGACGGAAAGACCCCGUGAACCUUUACUAUAGCUUGACACUGAACAUUGAGCCUUGAUGUGUAGGAUAGGUGGGAGGCUUUGAAGCGUGGACGCCAGUCUGCGUGGAGCCAACCUUGAAAUACCACCCUUUAAUGUUUGAUGUUCUAACGUUGGCCCCUUACCGGGGUUGCGGACAGUGUCUGGUGGGUAGUUUGACUGGGGCGGUCUCCUCCCAAAGCGUAACGGAGGAGCACGAAGGUUAGCUAAUCCUGGUCGGACAUCAGGAGGUUAGUGCAAUGGCAUAAGCUAGCUUGACUGCGAGCGUGACGGCGCGAGCAGGUGCGAAAGCAGGUCAUAGUGAUCCGGUGGUUCUGAAUGGAAGGGCCAUCGCUCAACGGAUAAAAGGUACUCCGGGGAUAACAGGCUGAUACCGCCCAAGAGUUCAUAUCGACGGCGGUGUUUGGCACCUCGAUGUCGGCUCAUCACAUCCUGGGGCUGAAGUAGGUCCCAAGGGUAUGGCUGUUCGCCAUUUAAAGUGGUACGCGAGCUGGGUUUAGAACGUCGUGAGACAGUUCGGUCCCUAUCUGCCGUGGGCGCUGGAGAAUUGAGGGGGGCUGCUCCUAGUACGAGAGGACCGGAGUGGACGCAUCACUGGUGUUCGGGUUGUCAUGCCAAUGGCACUGCCCGGUAGCUAAAUGCGGAAGAGAUAAGUGCUGAAAGCAUCUAAGCACGAAACUUGCCCCGAGAUGAGUUCUCCCUGAGACUUUAAGUCUCCUGAAGGAACGUUGAAGACGACGACGUUGAUAGGCCGGGUGUGUAAGCGCAGCGAUGCGUUGAGCUAACCGGUACUAAUGAACCGUGAGGCUUAACCUU